GGUGGAGAUACUUUGAAUGCUUGCAAAUGCUUCUUGAAUGAUGACGGAUGCUCCUCAAAUGUAGUGCUCUCACCAAAAACCCCAAACUUUGUCAAUGGAAUGGUGCAAAGGUGAUGAACAAAUGAUUUUUGGUGAGUGGGUGAUGGGAAAAGUACAAAGAAACCCUUGAAAAGAUUUUAGGAGUGCAAGAAAAGUGUGAAGUCUUGAAAAUGACGCUUGGGCGAGCCCUAAGGAGUGUUUAAAAAGUGCAGAUGGGCCUCCUACGUUGAGCUAUUUAAAAAGCCCAAAACUGCCUCUACGACGCCACCGCUCAGCGCUGGGUUACUGCUGAGCGGUAGGCGCGAUUUAAAAUCUUUCACCCUUUUUGCUUGCCUGAGCGUUUUGUGACCUGCAACACUUAAUUUCAACUCUCAAUUCACAAUUUUUAUGCAACCUCCUCUCUCAUGCAACAAUCAAAUCCUAAAAUGCAAUUAAAAUAGAGUUAAAAAUAAAUAACAAUCAACUGGGUGGCCUCC
rnacentral:lncRNA from 1 species